GUCAAUGGCCUAACGGCUGAACCAGCAACUUGGAUGAAUGAAAAAUGCAAGUCUCGAAAGGCACUAGCCUCUAGAGGCCCGAGCCUCUGUAAUUUAAUUGCUAUAUAAAUUAUAGAACGUAACUACGUUACCUAAAGUUCUAGGUAGAUAUUUGAUAAUGACAUUAUUUAUCUAUAAGUCUUGACCAAGUCUCGUGCCAGCAGUCGCGGUAACACGGGGAAGACAAGUGUUAUUCAUCUUUAAUUGGUUUAAAGGGUACCUAGACAGUUAAUCAAGCCUACAUAAGGGACUAAUUAUACUAGAGUUUUAUAGGAUAAGGAUAGAACGGUNAGNGGAGAGAUGAAAUUCUUUGAUACACCUUAGAUACUGAGAGCGGCGAAAGCAACCUUAUAUCUAAAAACUGACGUUGAGGGACGAAGGCUUUAUUUAAUUAACAGGAUUAGAUACCCCAGUAGUCUUAGCAGACAAUGAUGAGUGUCAUAUGUAUGAAUUUUAUACGUAUAAAUGAAAGUGUAAGCACUCCACCUUAAGAGUAAUAUGGCAACAUAGGAACUGAAAUCAUUAGACCGUUUCUGAAACCAGUAGUGAAGUAUGUUGUUUAAUUUGAUGACCCGCAAAGAACCUUACCAUGAUUUGAAUAGAUUUCUAUAUAGAAAUUUACAGGAGUUGCACGGCUGUCUUCAGUUGAUAUCGUGAGAUUUUGGUUAGCUCCAUUU
rnacentral:rRNA from 1 species